CGGGGAGUAGAGGAACUCGGUCGUCCUCGUCGGCCUCAUAAGCCGAAGACCGCCGGUUCUCAAAUCCGGCCUCCCCCAC
rnacentral:tRNA from 1 species